CAUGCAAGUCGAACGGAGCACCCUUGAUUGAGGUCUCGGCCAAAUGAUAGGAAUGCUUAGUGGCGGACUGGUGAGUAACGCGUGAGGAACCUGCCUUUCAGAGGGGGACAACAGUUGGAAACGACUGCUAAUACCGCAUGACGCAUUUUGAUCGCAUGGUCGAAAUGCCAAAGAUUUAUCGCUGAAAGAUGGCCUCGCGUCUGAUUAGCUAGUUGGUGAGGUAACGGCCCACCGAGGCGACGAUCAGUAGCCGGACUGAGAGGUUGACCGGCCACAUUGGGACUGAGAUACGGCCCAGACUCCUACGGGAGGCAGCAGUGGGGAAUAUUGGGCAAUGGGCGCAAGCCUGACCCAGCAACGCCGCGUGAAGGAAGAAGGCUUUCGGGUUGUAAACUUCUUUUAAGUGGGAAGAGCAGAAGACGGUACCACUUGAAUAAGCCACGGCUAACUACGUGCCAGCAGCCACGGUAAUACGUAGGUGGCAAGCGUUGUCCGGAUUUACUGGGUGUAAAGGGCGUGCAGCCGGGCAUGCAAGUCAGAUGUGAAAUCUCAGGGCUUAACCCUGAAACUGCAUUUGAAACUGUAUGUCUUGAGUGCCGGAGAGGUAAUCGGAACUCCUUGUGUAGCGGUGAAAUGCGUAGAUAUAAGGAAGAACACCAGUGGCGAAGGCGGAUUACUGGACGGUAACUGACGGUGAGGCGCGAAAGCGUGGGGAGCGAACAGGAUUAGAUACCCUGGUAGUCCACGCUGUAAACGAUGGAUACUAGGUGUGCGGGGACUGACCCCCUGCGUGCCGCAGUUAACACAAUAAGUAUCCCACCUGGGG
rnacentral:rRNA from 1 species